rnacentral:lncRNA from 1 species
GGUCCAGCCCGGGGACCGUCCAGUCCAUACCGGGCAAGGGACCUGCCGGGCGAGGGACCUGAAGCCGCUGAGUGAAAGGCUCUUCCUCCCCAGGGACACGCUUCCGACCUCUGUCCAUGCACCUGGGUGAAAGGCGUCUUUCCUAGUACGCGCCCACUGCCUUACCCUUGGGAAUGGGUCGGUGCUGGGCCGACUCUCAUCUGCUUGCUUCCGCUGAGCGGGGUGAGCACAUGCCCGGUCGGUGUGGACGUGGUGAGGACUGAUGAGUGUCCCCCCCCCCCCAGUCUGUUUGUUGUGUAACAGUCGUAUCUACGCAGUAACCCACGGCAUUCAUUCACUUGAUCACACUGAGGUGUGCAGCACGGUCCACUAAUUGCACCCAGGUGUGGGCGCCACAGCCGCGUCUCCUCCUAAGAGGUGGCGGAAGGUGGUGCUGUUGCCGUCCCGGCCCAGCUUACAGAGCAGGAGACCAGAGGCGCAGGGAGUUGGCCUUCCUGGCUCAGGACCCCAGGGAGUGGCGAACCAGGGCUCGCUCCCAGGCCUCACCAGCACGCCUGAGCUUCGAGUUCUGCUGCUUCCAGGAGGACGGGCCUGCCGGAUGUUGUCCACGGUCCCUGGGUUUCCAUGGUGACUUUGCCACACACAUGUGGAUCCCCAAACAACGCGUGGCUCAGUCGAGCUUUUGGGUUUCAUAAAGGUGGCCUUAAGUCACCCAGGGCCUGCAGCCCCCCGACCAUGGCAGGAGCGUGUCCUCCUCCACCGCCUGCUCCCCUCUCCACCAGCACCCUGGGAAUAGUCGGAGCUACUGGAAUUUCUAUUGAGGGGUAUAUCCUUUGCAAAGGGUUGUGGAGUUUACGGAACUGUUGCUCAUCGGCGUCUCUUUGUGGCAUGUCCUUGCUCCCUUCUUUUCCCAGCCAUCUGGAAGACACUCUGCAACGAGGACCAUGAAAUGGGACCCGUGUGAGACAGUUUCUGGGCGUUUCUGGGAACACAGUUGGGCACCAAGAUCAGCGUUUCCUGGCAGUUUCGUGGGGGCAGAACGCACUGUUGUGGUAAGAACGGGCUGGGGAGCCAGGCGGUCCUGGGCUGAGCCCCUGUGUGCCCCAGCAGUUGCACAACAGUGAACCCCCCAAACCCCCCGGCCCACAACAAGAGGCUUCCACUCCUACGCUGCGGGCCUGCCGGUGGACUGUGGUUCUGCCACGCAGGAUGGACUCCGCGAGGCCCCUCUGCCUGAGGUCGCCUAUUGGCUGAGCUUGGACUGGUCAUCAGUUGCUGCAUGACGAAGUCCCAAAAAACUCAGUGGCUUAAAUCAACAAUAUUGGACUUCUCUUGAUUUCUUUGGGCUGACUGGACGGUCUCCUGCUGGUGGUACCCCCUGGGCUCACCGCUGUGGCCCUCAUCCCACCAGCCUCCCUCCCCUGUGCAGGGCCCCUCCGUCCUGUGCCAUGUGUCUCUCACAGACUGACUUCCUCCCAAUAUGGUGGGCUCAGGGGUCCCUCAGAGGGAGAGUGCAGGAGGCUGGGCCUCCUAAGGGCUGGGUUUGGGGCCUUACACUCCCUUCUGCCUCGUUCUACUGGUUAGAACAAGUCACGAGGUGGCCAGCUCAUGUGCAGGUUGAGGGGACAGAAGCAGACUCCACCCCCGUGGUGACAAAAGAGAAAAGCUCCCAUUGCAAGGGGAGGAGGGUUCAGGGUGGCGUGACUCACCGUGGGGUCACACAGAGGUGACUGUAAGCACAGUCCAGCGCGGUUGGGCUCAAGUCCACUUCUGCUUUAUCUGGAACCAGGGCUGACAGGCCAUGAGUGAGCCGGGAUAUGGUCUUCGUCGGGUGGACCACGGGAGCCCAAACCAAGCCAAACUGCACAAGCACCUCAAAGCCACAGCCGCUGUCAUGGUCACUGACGUUCCAUUGGCCAAAGCAAGCCACAGGACCAAGGCCAACAUCACAGCGCAGGCGUGGUGGGAAGAGGUGUGUGUGUGUGUGUGAAGCUAAGCAAUGAUCCAAGCUUCAAUGACCUCACUGUACCUCCUGAAAUUGAAGACCUGGGCAACACAGGUAACUCAUCUCUCAUGGGACGAUGGUAAGGCAAGAUGACCACCUCGUCCCUAUCUGCCUGGGACUCUGCUACUUUAGCACUGAAGGGCUUAUGUUCCAAGGGUUCCCUCCAGUCCCGGGAAGGCAGGGAGCGUCGGGCCGUCCUGUUUUGAAGACUAGGUGAGAUCCUCCCAAUAGUCCCUCACUAGAUGUGCUUAUGGUGAGGAGCCCCUCUCUACAGAGGACAAGAGCAACUUUCUGGUGGCCACACAGACCGUCCAGGGGAUAACCCACAUCUAAACCUGGUGCUCUCCUGCACAAGUGGCCCUCUCCUGCAGAUUCCCACACGUCCUGCUUCCCGGGACCUGGUGCUCGAGGUCUCCUCUCCCUGGUCCUCACAAGAGCCCUGUGUUGGGAGGAAACCUGAGGCCCAGAGCCCCUGUCAGUGAGCACAUGGGCGCCCGAUUCAGGCCGGAGUGCUGGGUACCCACAGGACACACAAGAGCUAGCCUGUAACCAGACAGGGCCCUUGAGAGGCAGGGAGGACGAUGCCCUGUGAGGCCUCCAGCUGGCCUGGUCAUUGGCUGCUCGGCUGGGAAGAGCUGAUCCUCUGCACCUCCAUGAACUGGGCCUCAGGCAAGUGGCCCGUCCUGACCCACUAGAGUUGGAGUCCAAUCUCCCCUGGCCUCAGACUCACUGAUGGUGUGGCUUGGAGCAAGCAGCCCUGGCCUCGACUUCUCCACUUACGUACGGCAUGUUUUCUCUCCCACCCUGUGACGCCCUCUGCCAUGUGAAGGUGCAGCAGGGGACCCUUGCCAGAUGUCAGCUCCUUGAUAAUGACUUGCCAUUCUCCACAACUGUGAGCUGAACAAACUUCCACUCAUUAUAAGUCACCUGGCCGGGCUGGGGAUACAGCUCAGUUGGUAGGGUGCUUGUCCUGCAUGCACAAAGCCCCGGGUCCAAUCCCCAGCACCACAAAAAAUAAAAAAAUAAAUCACCUGGCCUUGGGUGCUUUGUUAUAGCAACAGAAAACUCAGAUAAUCAUCUCCCUGACUUCCCAAGAACCACUAGGAAAGUGAGCCAAAGAGUCUCCCUGAACUAGGAGGGGCCAUUUCAGGUGACCUGGUCACCUCCUUUCAGGUGAACUCCAACAGAGGUAGUUUAUUGUUAUUUUUUUUUCCUAGAUGAAAAAGAAAAUGACAAAGACGAGGCACAUGGUCACCGAAUAGCAUCCGAUGUGCAAUCGACCCCAGGGUCUUGCCUGUGUGCUAUUAAAGAACCGCCCAUCUUCUUGAAGCCACAGUUGUGCUGGACAGUGAAUCAGGGGCCCUGCUCUCUGCUUCUCCCUGCUGUCAGGACACAGCCCGAUGGGAAAGCAGCUCAGCUCAGUCAACAAAAAGGCACGAGUACUUACAUACGGGACAGAGGAGGGUGGUGCAGACCCUGCCCGACACCAGUGAAGGGGCGAGUGGACUCCCUCGGUGAGACUGGUGAGGAUGUGGUCAUGAUGCUAUCCAGCACCAGGAAGACCCCUGCGCUCCCCAGGGAAUCCCCACUCUGAGACCGGGGGCUGCCACUCCCAUCAUGUCCUGGGUUCCUUCCUCUUCCGAGGGCAUCCAGAGGACAGGCACCUUCUGCUGGGGAUGUUUCCUAAAUCCUCAACAUCUGGAAGGAGCUGCCACAAAGGCCCCCUUUGUGUAGCCAGGGAAAUGGGCAAUAAAAUAGCGCCAGACCCCGCAAAGCUGGGCAAGGAGGCGCACGGUCCAGGGCCCUGGGAGUGGACACGGUGAGGUCGCGGAGAGGUGUGUCCGGAGGCACAGGUCAAUAAAUCACAGCAUCGCUUAUCUAGUGCUUCCUGUGUGCCGGAGGCUGCUCAAGGGCUGUGUCCACAGUGUCUCGUUGACAGGAAGGUUUGCAAGGUGGUCACAGCAAAGGGGGACGGUGCCUCUGAAAUCAUAGAGAUGUGGGGACAGCAGAGGACAAAGCACGGGCAGAAGAUAGAGGUAUCAAAGUAACGUCUGCACAGAGUCGCCUGGCUGCCUCUUUCUAUGUUAACCACCAACCUUCAGCACCCCGAAAGAACCAUCUGGAACCCUCUAUGGUAAAAUGGGUCAUCUCAAGUCCUGCAGAGAGUGAUAUGUAGAGGUCCCCAGUGAAGUCACACCUUUGUCCCUGUGUCCUACAAUGAGGUUUACCAGUUGUCAGGGACCCUCCCAUCCCACCCCCGUAGGCAGAGUGUUCCGCGAAGCUUCACUUGCAUUUCAGAAAAGUCCCUACUAGGAAAGGGAGAGAUGGGAGUAAGAACAUGGUGGGUUUGGGGGAAGAGAAGAAAGGAUCCCGGGGGUAAAGACACUCCAGGGAGCAGAAGGACCAACACUACCCCCGGUUUUCAUUGUCAUCCUUGGAGAGAGAGAAAAAAAAUGGCUACCUCUGUGACAUAAGAUCAGUAGUCCACAGGCAGACUUCUAUGGCAACGAGAGCUUUGGAAAGUAAAAGUGCAACAGCAGAAAAGAAAAAGAAAAAACCAGUAGUGGAGCUGGAACGUGGGGUCAAGCAGGCCACGGACAGAAAGAGGUAAACGAAGAGGAAUGAUGAGAAAGGGGGUCCAACUGGGAGGUCUGAGAUCCUACAGAUAAGGAUCCCCAAAGAUAAGCUGAAAAAAGGGCGAGGGGAAGAAAUUGUGAAACAUAAUACAAGGAAAGGAACCUGGGUUUCCAGGUUACACGGGCCGUGCUGGCCCAGUCCAGUCAACGAAGCAGCGUCCCACCAGCACCUGUGCCCUGAGAUCUCCUCAUGCCGCCUUCCUGUCCUCAGCGGGCAGGUACCCCACAUCAUUCUGACUCACCCUCUGUCUCCUUUUUCUGCUUAGAAGGGCCUUUGUGGUUAUCUUGGUCCAAGGGGGAAAUCCAGGGUCCUCUUAUUUUGAGGUCAGCCGGUGAACAACCUGAAUUCCUCGGCCCUCUCCAUCCCUCUCUGCCAGGCACCAAGGUGUCCAGGUGCUGGGGAUUCGGUGGCAGACAUCUUCAUCUUCUUCAGGAAGCCCUUGUUCUGCAGGUUGCAACUUUGCAUAAAAUCUGGGUCAUCUCCUUGAGGAUCAAAGGGAGAGUGGAUGUUAGGAAGGAUCGCGGAGUAGACAGGAGGAGGGAGGGCAGGGCCCCUGGAGCCACCUAGAGCCAUGCUCCCAUCCCAGGCUGAGCCUCUGUAUCACCACCAGGGAAAGAAUCCUGGCUCGGGCCAAGCCACCUUGGGGGAGCUUCUGUUCCAAGAAGUCAAAUGAGGCCUAAGGAAACUCUCACUUUUUAAGGUACGAAGUUAACAAUAUUUGAACUCAAAACGGGAAGAGAUACCAGGCAAGCACAGAGUUGGGAAACAACCACCAACCUCACCUGAGAGAUCUGUGGAUUUAAAGAACUCUGAACUUAAAGAAAUCACCUUGGGGCGCAUCUUCAGAGAGAGGGAAAGAAGAGGCACAUCACGACGGCCUGUCUCUAGAAUCUCAUGGUGCGUUGGACUCAUUAAGCUUUGGAAAUCUUUUACUUAAUAAGAAAUACGGUUUUUCAUUUUAAGAUGACAGACACGGUUCGGAGCGUCUGAAGAAACCCAUCCGAAGGUACAAGGAAAAUGCCUGGCGACGCGACCCCUGGCUGUGUUGUGGGGUGACAGGGUCAGCCUGGGAGAGUCCAAGGGACCUUCCCCGUGAGUGUGCCCAAGGCCCUUCCUGAGCUACAAAGUUCAUGGCCAGAAUCCCAUUUUCCAUCCCUCAUAAGACCCUGCUCUUAGGAACAGAGCUUGGAAGGAAGUGCGCAGGACAUUCCUGGGGCCGCAUCUGCUCCCCGAAGCCCCGCCGCCCCGCCCUGGGGAACACAGCUGAGAUCCUUAUCGCCCCCAGCUCUGGCACACUGAGCGUGUGAUACACCUGUCUCCACCAUCAGGCAAAUGAGUGGGUUCACAGGCAGAGGCCUGCCCUGCCAAACAAUGCUCCCCUUUGUCCCCGCCCAGAGCUCAGGAGCCGCAAGGAAGCCACAUCCGUCAGCACCUGUCAGGGCCCUUGAAGCACACAAUGCCAGCGGUGACCCCCACCCCGAGCCGAGCCCCAGGCUUCCCGCAGGCUGCUCUAACUGACACGCAACGUGUCAGUCACCUUCUGAAAGCCAGGGGUGGGGCCGUGGAAGGGGGGCACUGGGCCUGCCUCCCAGAAGCCAACCAGAGCCAGAGACGGUGCUGUGAAACCCUGACACAUCCUUUCUUAAACCCAGCCCCAAAGAGCACAGCACGAAGAAAAAUCAUCUCCCUCAUCGCUAGAGAUGUAGAACAUUUUUUCAUCUAUUUAUUGACUGAUGGUAUAUCCUCUUCUGAGAAGUGGCUGUUCAGUUCCUUGGCCCAUUUAUUGAUUGUGUUCUUUGGGUGUUUUGUUAUUGUUGUUGUUUUUGGAGUUAAGAUUUUUGAGUUCUUUAUAUAUCCUAGAGAUGAGUGCUCUAUCUGAGGUGCAUGUGGUAAAAAUGUGCUCCCAAGAUACAGGCUCUCUAUUCACCUCACUGAUUGUUUCUUUUACUGAGAAGAAGCUUUUUUGUUUGAAUCCAUCCCAUUUAUUGAUUCUUGAUUUUAAUUUUUGUGCUAGAGGAGUCAGAAUGGCAGCUAUUAAGAAUGUGAACAACAAUAAGUGUUGGCAAAGAUAUUGGGACACUCAUACACUGCUGGUGGGACUGCAAAUUAGUGCAGCCAAUGUGGAAAGCGGUAUGGAGAUUCCUUGGAAAAUUGGGAAUGGAACCACCACUUGAUCCAGUUAUCCCACUCCUCAGUCAAUACCCAAAGACACAAACAACAUACUACAGGGACACAGCCACAUCAAUGUUUAUUGCAGCACAAUUCACAAUAGCUAAACUGUGCAGCCAACCUAGAUGCCCAUCAGUAUAUGAAUGAUAAAGAAAAUGUUACACACACACACACACACACACAAUGGAAUACUAUUCAGAAUUAAAAGAGAAUAAAAUCAUGGCAUUUGCAGGUAAAUGGAUGGAGCUGGAGAAUAUAAUGCUAAGUGAUGUAAGCCAGUCCCCCCAAAACCAAAUGCUGAAUGUUUUCUCAAUAAAAGGAGGCUGAUUCAUAGUGGGUACGGAGGGGAGCGUGGGAGGAAUAGAUGAACUCUAG